rnacentral:rRNA from 1 species
AUUGAACGCUGGCGGCAUGCCUUACACAUGCAAGUCGAACGGCAGCACGGGUGCUUGCACCUGGUGGCGAGUGGCGAACGGGUGAGUAAUACAUCGGAACAUGUCCUUUAGCGGGGGAUAGCCCGGCGAAAGCCGGAUUAAUACCGCAUACGAUCUACGUAUGAAAGAGGGGGAAUUUAGGGAUUUGGGUUAGAGGGGUGGUCGAUGGCUGAUUAGCUAGUUGGUGGGGUAAAGGCCUACCAAGGCGACGAUCAGUAGCUGGUCUGAGAGGACGACCAGCCACACUGGGACUGAGACACGGCCCAGACUCCUACGGGAGGCAGCAGUGGUGAAUUUUCUACACUUGUCAAAAACCUUAUCCAACAAUACCACGUAUGUUAAGAAGGCCUUCGGGUUGUAAAGCACUUUUGUCCGGAAAGAAAUCCUUUACCCUAAUACAUUCCAGCAAUAACUUUCCCCCAAAAAUAAUCACCGGCUAACUACUUG